rnacentral:rRNA from 1 species
UGGGGAAUAUUGGGCAAUGGGCGCAAGCCUGACCCAGCAACGCCGCGUGAGGGAAGAAGGCUUUCGGGUUGUAAACCUCUAUCCUUGGUGACGAAACAAAUGACGGUAGCCAAGAAGGAAGCCCCGGCUAACUACGUGCCAGCAGCCGCGGUAAUACGUAGGGGGCGAGCGUUGUCCGGAAUUACUGGGCGUAAAGGGUGCGUAGGUGGCCUUUUAAGUUGGAUGUGAAAUACCCGGGCUUAACUUGGGGGGUGCAUCUAAUACUGGAGGGCUAGAGUGCAGGAGAGGGAAGCGGAAUUCCUAGUGUAGCGGUGAAAUGCGUAGAUAUUAGGAGGAACACCAGUGGCGAAGGCGGCUUUCUGGACUGUAACUGACACUGAGGCACGAAAGCGUGGGGAGCAAACAG